rnacentral:rRNA from 1 species
UGCUGGGGGAUUAGUGGCGAACGGGUGAGUAACACGUGAGUAACCUGCCCUUGACUCUGGGAUAAGCCUGGGAAACUGGGUCUAAUACCGGAUACGACCAUCUGGCGCAUGUCAUGGUGGUGGAAAGCUUUUGUGGUUUUGGAUGGACUCGCGGCCUAUCAGCUUGUUGGUGGGGUAAUGGCCUACCAAGGCGACGACGGGUAGCCGGCCUGAGAGGGUGACCGGCCACACUGGGACUGAGACACGGCCCAGACUCCUACGGGAGGCAGCAGUGGGGAAUAUUGCACAAUGGGCGCAAGCCUGAUGCAGCGACGCCGCGUGAGGGAUGACGGCCUUCGGGUUGUAAACCUCUUUCAGUAGGGAAGAAGCGAAAGUGACGGUACCUGCAGAAGAAGCGCCGGCUAACUACGUGCCAGCAGCCGCGGUAAUACGUAGGGCGCAAGCGUUAUCCGGAAUUAUUGGGCGUAAAGAGCUCGUAGGCGGUUUGUCGCGUCUGCUGUGAAAGACCGGGGCUCAACUCCGGUUCUGCAGUGGGUACGGGCAGACUAGAGUGCAGUAGGGGAGACUGGAAUUCCUGGUGUAGCGGUGAAAUGCGCAGAUAUCAGGAGGAACACCGAUGGCGAAGGCAGGUCUCUGGGCUGUAACUGACGCUGAGGAGCGAAAGCAUGGGGAGCGAACAGGAUUAGAUACCCUGGUAGUCCAUGCCGUAAACGUUGGGCACUAGGUGUGGGGGACAUUCCACGUUUUCCGCGCCGUAGCUAACGCAUUAAGUGCCCCGCCUGGGGAGUACGGCCGCAAGGCUAAAACUC